rnacentral:misc_RNA from 1 species
UCUCAACAAACUAACAGUUUUUUUUCCCUCCAAAACAACUAUACUUCUUUUCUAUUUCUAAACUUCCUCCUCCUAUACGUGACACUUGUUUAAUAAGUAAAAAAACAUAUUGAAAAGAAAAAAAAUUCAUUUUCACAAUAUGUGAUGUAAAAGAAAUAGAAAGUAGAAAAAAGUAAAAGUUACUUUGAAAGAGGCAAGCCUCAGCAAGAGAGGCGCUCGCCUCUUGGGAUUGGGGUGCGUCUCACUCAAGCAAGGCAAGGCAGCUCACCUCGCGCUAUAACUAUAGAAAAAGGAACCUACAGAAACUGUAAAUUCAAUUAUACAACUUUACAAGGCCCAAAGAUUCACAGCACAUCCCUCAAUCAAACAAGAUCAAGUAAUUCUACAUCACGACACAAAAUGUUUUGAAUGCUUUCUUUGAGCAAACACCUCCUUUUUUUCCCAUUCCCAAACAAAGGGAGAAAAUAAAAAAUGUUAGUACCACAUAUAACUAAGUUGAAAUUGAAAAGUUCAUGAUAAAAAUAGAGAUUCUAAACAGUUUACAAUCAAGACAUUCCAUCUCCUCCCCCCCACCCAAACAAAAAACCUCUCUCUUUCUCUCUCUGUUUCUAAACAGGCACUUUCAUACACAUUUCAUAUCUGAUUUACAUUCAACCAACAUUACAAAUCUUCCCUCAAAGACAAAAUUCGCCUAUGCUUUGUGUCGUUGCCUUUCAAAGUAGUCAAUACCAACAAAGUGCAUCCAACAGUCACUAAAUCUUGAAUAUCUCAUCUUGAAAUAAUUCCCAAAUUUACUUCCAACAAUGCCUAAGGCAACAAACUUAUUGCUAAGCCUGCUCUGGCCUUCAAAAAAAUCUAACUAAAGGUACUUCUCCAAAAUCAUUUGUAAGAAAAAAAUUCAAUUGAAUUCUCACACAAUUAUGCUUGAUUUUUAUUUCUUUAAAAUGAAAAUUUUAAAGUUAAAAAGAAUUGAAUUCUUUAUGGGUUACUUUGGAAUAAAUCAAUCAUACAUGAAUUCUAUUUCUUUUAAAAUGAAUUAUUUUUUUAAAUUAAAAUAACUGAAUUCUUUCAUUUGAAAAUUGAAAAAAAAAAUAAUUAAAUUGAAUUCUUACAAAAUUAUGGUUUUCAAAUAGGAGAUGAUUCACAAAAAGAAAUCAAUUGAAUUGAGGGUAAAGAAAAUCCAAGUCACUACAAUGUAUUCUAUAUUUUCCAAGCUUUAAAUUACAGAAAACAUACCUGGAGCUGCUUGAGGUAAGGUUCCAAAAGAACUCGCACUAAAUGCCAACAUCGAGAUGAUAAUUAAUCACUGGAAGAUAUCUAAUUUACAGUAAAAGAAUCAAAUAUGUUUAAAUGUAAAUAAGAUGCUAAGCCGAACAUUCAUUAGGAAUAAGUCUUGAAAUUUAAACACAGCUAAAAUUUCCGCUAAUUAUCGAGAACAGGUCUAUAAAAUAACACUCAAUUGAAUUGUUAUGAGAACCCUAAACUGUAAAUCAAAACUUGAAUUUGUUCAAAACAUGAAAAAAUAAAAGUAGAUGUACCUGUCCGUCAGAGGAAGAGGAAUUGGAGAGGAGGAAUGAAAGAGGAUUCUAUAGCAAAUGCAUUAUGCAAUCGUAGCGUCGUCGCA